rnacentral:rRNA from 1 species
CCUACGGGUGGCUGCAGUGGGGAAUAUUGCACAAUGGGGAAAACCCUGAUGCAGCGACGUCGCGUGAGUGAAGAAGUACUUCGGUAUGUAAAGCCCUAUCAGCAGGGGAGAAAAUGACGGUACCUGAUUAAGAAGCCCCGGCUAACUACGUGCCAGCCGCCGCGGGAAUACGGAGGCGGCAAGCGUUAUCCGGAUGUACUGGGUGUAAAGGGAGCGUAGACGGCAGGACAAGUCUGGAGGUAAAUGCCGGGGCUUAACCCCGGAACUGCUUUGGAAACUGGGCAGCUAGAGUGAAGGAGAGGUAAGUGGAAUUCCUAGUGUAGCGGUGAAAUGCGUAGAUAUUAGGAGGAACACCAGUGGCGAAGGCGGCAUACUGGACUGUAACUGACGUUGAGGCUCGAAAGCGUGGGGAGCAAACAGGAUUAGAUACCCUUGUAGUC